GGGGAAUUAGCUCAAGUGGUAGAGUGCGCUCAGCAUCGCGAGGAAGCAGGAUCGAUGCCUGCAUUCUCCA
rnacentral:tRNA from 1 species